rnacentral:rRNA from 1 species
GACGAACGCUGGCGGCGUGCCUAAUACAUGCAAGUUGAGCGCUGAAGGUUGGUACUUGUACCGACUGGAUGAGCAGCGAACGGGUGAGUAACGCGUGGGGAAUCUGCCUUUGAGCGGGGGACAACAUUUGGAAACGAAUGCUAAUACCGCAUAAAAACUUUAAACACAAGUUUUAAGUUUGAAAGAUGCAAUUGCAUCACUCAAAGAUGAUCCCGCGUUGUAUUAGCUAGUUGGUGAGGUAAAGGCUCACCAAGGCGAUGGUACAUAGCCGACCUGAGAGGGUGAUCGGCCACAUUGGGACUGAGACACGGCCCAAACUCCUACGGGAGGCAGCAGUAGGGAAUCUUCGGCAAUGGACGAAAGUCUGACCGAGCAACGCCGCGUGAGUGAAGAAGGUCUUCGGAUCGUAAAACUCUGUUGGUAGAGAAGAACGUUGGUGAGAGUGGAAAGCUCAUCAAGUGACGGUAACUACCCAGAAAGGGACGGCUAACUACGUG